CCAGACUCCUACGGGAGGCAGCAGUGGGGGAUAUUGCACAAUGGGGGGAACCCUGAUGCAGCGACGCCGCGUGGGUGAAGGAGUAUUUCGGUAUGUAAAGCCCUAUCGGCAGGGAAGAAGCAAGACGGUACCUGACUAAGAAGCCCCGGCUAACUACGUGCCAGCAGCCGCGGUAAUACGUAGGGGGCAAGCGUUAUCCGGAUUCACUGGGUGUAAAGGGAGCGUAGACGGCGACGCAAGUCUGGAGUGAAAGCCCGGGGCCCAACCCCGGGACUGCUCUGGAAACUGCGGCGCUGGAGUACGGGAGGGGCGGGCGGAAUUCCUGGUGUAGCGGUGAAAUGCGUAGAUAUCAGGAGGAACACCGGUGGCGAAGGCGGCCUGCUGGACUGCGACUGACGUUGAGGCCCGAAAGCGUGGGGAGCAAGCAGGAUUAGAUACCCUUGUAACG
rnacentral:rRNA from 1 species